rnacentral:rRNA from 1 species
GAUGAACGCUGGCGGCGUGCUUAACACAUGCAAGUCGAACGAUGAAGCCCAGCUUGCUGGGUGGAUUAGUGGCGAACGGGUGAGUAACACGUGAGUAACCUGCCCUUAACUCUGGGAUAGGCCUGGGAAACUGGGUCUAAUACCGGAUAGGAGCGUCCACCGCAUGGUGGGUGUUGAAAAGAUUUAUCGGUUUUGGAUGGACUCGCGGCCUAUCAGCUUGUUGGUGAGGUAAUGGCUCACCAAGGCGACGACGGGUGGCCGGCCUGAGAGGGUGACCGGCCACACUGGGACUGAGACACGGCCCAGACUCCUACGGGAGGCAGCAGUGGGGAAUAUUGCACAAUGGGCGCAAGCCUGAUGCAGCGACGCCGCGUGAGGGAUGACGGCCUUCGGGUUGUAAACCUCUUUCAGUAGGGAAGAAGCGAAAGUGACGGUACCUGCAGAAGAAGCACCGGCUAACUACGUG